UACGUACUCCCUCCGUCCCAAAAUUGUUGUCUUAGAUUUGUCUAGAUACAGAUGUAUCUAAUACUAGAACAUGACUUGAUACAUCCAUAUGUAGACAAAUUUAACAAGAAUUUUAAGACGGAGGAGUAGGUU
rfam:Triticum aestivum genome assembly, contig: Triticum_aestivum_CS42_TGACv1_scaffold_220923_3B